rnacentral:lncRNA from 1 species
UCCUUGGGCGAUCUUGGAUCUUAAUUAGUACACUCACGUUCUCUGUGGAAAAUUGAUACUCUGGAAUACUCCCGGGUGAAGGCUACAUCGGUAUCCGUGCGCUUGCGGAUUUUUUUUGUUUGCGUUUAAAAUACCCAACAAUUACAAUAACAUAAGUUCCAAAUACAUUGCUAGCAUAAGUGACAUCCUCUGACAAAAGCAUGUAGAUGAGAACACUAUAUAGAAUCACCGAGCCCAAC